rnacentral:rRNA from 1 species
CGGGACGGGUGAGUAACGCGUGGGUAACCUGCCUUGUACUGGGGGACGAACAGUUGGAAACGACUGCUAAUACCGCAUAAGCGCACAGCUUCGCAUGAAGCAGUGUGAAAAACUCCGGUGGUACAAGAUGGACCCGCGUCUGAUUAGCUGGUUGGUGAGGUAACGGCCCACCAAGGCAACGAUUAGUAGCCGGCCUGAGAGGGUGAACGGCCACAUUGGGACUGAGACACGGCCCAA